rnacentral:tRNA from 1 species
AGGGGUAUAGUUAAUUAUAACAUUUAAAUUGCAUUUAAAAAGUACUGAAAAAAUCAGUUAUCCUU